rnacentral:tRNA from 1 species
UCCCUGGUGGCUCAGAGGCUAAAGCAUCUGCUUGCAAUGCGGGAGACCUGGGUUCGAUCCCUGGGUCGGGAA